AUCCAUCUUUUCAGCUGAUGCUGC
rnacentral:siRNA from 1 species